rnacentral:rRNA from 1 species
AUUGAACGCUGGCGGCAGGCCUAACACAUGCAAGUCGAACGAGUGGCGGACGGGUGAGUAAUGUCUGGGAAACUGCCGGAUGGAGGGGGAUAACUACUGGAAACGGUAGCUCAUACCGCAUACCAUCGGAUGUGCCCAGAUGGGAUUGGCUAGUAGGUGGGGUAAAGGCUAACCUAGGCGACGAUACAUAGCUGGUCGGAGAGGAUGACCAGCCAAACUGGAACUGAGAAACGGUCCAUAUUCCUACGGGAUGCAGCAGUGGGGAAUAUUGCACAAUGGUCGCAAGCCUGAUGCAGCCAUGCCGCGUGUAUGAAGAAGGCCUUCGGGUUGUAAAGUACUUUCAGCGGGGAGGCGUUACCCGCAGAAGAAGCACCGGCUAACUCCGUGCCAGCAGCCGCGGUAAUAC